AGAGUUUGAUCAUGGCUCAGGAUCAACGCUGGCGGCGUGCCUAAUGCAUGCAAGUCGCGCGCGGGCUCCUUCGGGGGUGCUGCGCGGCGGACGGGUGCGUAACACGUGGGCGACCCACCCCAGGGCGGGGGAUAGCCGCGGGAAACCGCGGGUAAUUCCGCAUGUGCUCGGGGGCGCGUAGCGCCCUUGAGGAAAGGUGGCAACACCACCCUGGGCGGGGCCUGCGGCCGAUUAGCUAGUUGGUGUGGUAAUGGCGCACCAAGCCGAUGACGGGUCGCUGGUCUGCGAGGACGGCCAGCCAGACUGGGACUGCGACACGGCCCAGACACCUACGGGUGGCAGCAGCAAGGAAUCUUCCCCAAUGGGCUAACGCCUGAGGGAGCAACGCCGCGUGGAGGAUGACGGCCUUCGGGUUGUAAACUCCUUUUCGGUGGGAUGAAACGGACAGUACCACCGGAAUAAGCCCCGGCUAACUCUGUGCCAGCAGCCGCGGUAAGACAGAGGGGGCAAGCGUUGUCCGGAUUUACUGGGCGUACAGCGCGCGCAGGCGGUGGACCAGGUGCCCUGUGACAUCCCGCAGCUCAACUGCGGGCGGCCAGGGUAGACCAGUCGACUAGAGGCAGAGAGAGGCAGGUGGAAUACCCGGUGGAGCGGUGAAAUGCGUAGAGAUCGGGUGGAACACCAGCGGCGCAAGCGGCCUGCUGGCUCUGAACUGACGCUGAGGCGCGAGAGCGUGGGGAGCAAACCGGAUUAGAUACCCCGGUAGUCC
rnacentral:rRNA from 1 species